AGGAAGAGUAGAAGGAAUAAAAUACUUCCAGUGUCCACUGUAUGAAUGCUACUCAUAAAAGGUCAAGUGGGAUUCUUCAGAUAGCAAGAGUAUGUCUGACUGAGAGCCUGGCAGCAAGUGGGUCUCAACAAAAUACUGAUUCUGCGUGGGAAACAUUGGAGAAAUCCAUGGACAUUUGGAUGCAAAACUGUGUUGGGGAACCAUACGCCGGUACCAUUCUACUCCAAAAAGUAACUCGGUGAAAGAAAUUGCACCCUGUUUCCAAUUGAUCCACAUACCUGACAGGCAAGAGCUCCAGGUAUGAUAGACCAUGGGGCUCAUCUUACAUUCCUCUGGGUGCUUUGAAGAAAUGACUACAUUUGUCAAAUAACAAAAAAGAAUCACCUGAGACAGUCAAUUGAGACACAUCAAAAGCAACUUGAAAACCUGCAGUCCCAGGUCAGCUGUUACUUGAAGACUAUGCAGCUUCCUUUUGAGUCAUUUCUCGUUUGUCUUUGUAUAAAGUUCUGUUGAGAGAAGUCUGCAUUUGAGAACUACU